rnacentral:rRNA from 1 species
UACGAAGGGGGCUAGCGUUGCUCGGAAUCACUGGGCGUAAAGGGUGCGUAGGCGGGUCUUUUAAGUCAGGGGUGAAAUCCUGGAGCUCAACUCCAGAACUGCCUUUGAUACUGAAGAUCUUGAGUUCGGGAGAGGUGAGUGGAACUGCGAGUGUAGAGGUGAAAUUCGUAGAUAUUCGCAAGAACACCAGUGGCGAAGGCGGACUCACUGGCCCGAUACUGACGCUGAGGCA